rnacentral:rRNA from 1 species
GACGAACGCUUUCGGCGUGCUUAACACAUGCAAGUCGAACGGAAAGGCCCUGCUUUUGUGGGGUGCUCGAGUGGCGAACGGGUGAGUAACACGUGAGUAACCUGCCCUUGACUUUGGGAUAACUUCAGGAAACUGGGGCUAAUACCGGAUAGGAGCUCCUGCUGCAUGGUGGGGGUUGGAAAGUUUCGGCGGUUGGGGAUGGACUCGCGGCUUAUCAGCUUGUUGGUGGGGUAGUGGCUUACCAAGGCUUUGACGGGUAGCCGGCCUGAGAGGGUGACCGGCCACAUUGGGACUGAGAUACGGCCCAGACUCCUACGGGAGGCAGCAGUGGGGAAUAUUGCACAAUGGGCGGAAGCCUGAUGCAGCAACGCCGCGUGCGGGAUGACGGCCUUCGGGUUGUAAACCGCUUUCGCCUGUGACGAAGCGUGAGUGACGGUAAUGGGUAAAGAAGCACCGGCUAACUACGUGCCAGCAGCCGCGGUGAUACGUAGGGUGCGAGCGUUGUCCGGAUUUAUUGGGCGUAAAGGGCUCGUAGGUGGUUGAUCGCGUCGGAAGUGUAAUCUUGGGGCUUAACCCUGAGCGUGCUUUCGAUACGGGUUGACUUGAGGAAGGUAGGGGAGAAUGGAAUUCCUGGUGGAGCGGUGGAAUGCGCAGAUAUCAGGAGGAACACCAGUGGCGAAGGCGGUUCUCUGGGCCUUUCCUGACGCUGAGGAGCGAAAGCGUGGGGAGCGAACAGGCUUAGAUACCCUGGUAGUCCACGCUGUAAACGGUGGGUACUAGGUGUGGGGUCCAUUCCACGGGUUCCGUGCCGUAGCUAACGCUUUAAGUACCCCGCCUGGGGAGUACGGCCGCAAGGCUAAAACUCAAAGGAAUUGACGGGGCCCCGCACAAGCGGCGGAGCAUGCGGAUUAAUUCGAUGCAACGCGUAGAACCUUACCUGGGUUUGACAUGGAUCGGGAGUGCCCAGAGAUGGGUGUGCCUCUUUUGGGGUCGGUUCACAGGUGGUGCAUGCCUGUCGUCAGCUCGUGUCGUGAGAUGUUGGGUUAAGUCCCGCAACGAGCGCAACCCUUGUUCACUGUUGCCAGCACGUUAUGGUGGGGACUCAGUGGAGACCGCCGGGGUCAACUCGGAGGAAGGUGGGGAUGACGUCAAGUCAUCAUGCCCCUUAUGUCCAGGGCUUCACGCAUGCUACAAUGGCUGGUACAGAGAGUGGCGAGCCUGUGAGGGUGAGCGAAUCUCGGAAAGCCGGUCUCAGUUCGGAUUGGGGUCUGCAACUCGACCUCAUGAAGUCGGAGUCGCUAGUAAUCGCAGAUCAGCAACGCUGCGGUGAAUACGUUCCCGGG